AUACGUAGGUGACAAGCGUUAUCCGGAUUUACUGGGCGUAAAGGGCGUGUAGGCGGUCUUGCAAGUCAGAAGUGAAAUUCCUGAGCUCAACUCGGGCGCUGCUUCUGAAACUGCAGGACUUGAGUGCUGGAGGGGAUAGCGGAAUUCCUAGUGGAGCGGUAAAAUGCGCAGAUAUUAGGAAGAACACCGGUGGCGAAGGCGACUAUCUGCCCAGCACCUGACGCUGGGGAGCGAAAGCGAGGGGAGAAAACAGGAGUAUAUCCCCUGGAAGUCCACGCCGUAAACGAUGAAUACUAGGUGUAGGGGGUAUCGACUCCCUCUGUGCCGCAGUUAACACGAUAAGUAUUCCGCCUGGGGAGUACGGCCGCAAGGUUGAAACUCAAAUGAAUUGACGGGG
rnacentral:rRNA from 1 species